rnacentral:rRNA from 1 species
UACGGGGGGAGCAAGCGUUGUUCGGAUUUACUGGGCGUAAAGGGCGCGUAGGCGGCCAGCACAAGUCAGUUGUGAAAUCUCCGAGCUUAACUCGGAAAGGUCAACUGAUACUGUGCGGCUAGAGUGCAGAAGGGGCAACUGGAAUUCUUGGUGUAGCGGUGAAAUGCGUAGAUAUCAAGAGGAACACCUGCGGCGAAGGCGGGUUGCUGGGCUGACACUGACGCUGGAGGCGCGAAAGCGUGGGGGAGCAAACAGG